GACGGUGCCAACGAGUCUGACCUUCUGGCCCGAAAGGGUUGGGCAAACUGGUCAAUCACCGUCAUGACAGGGAUCGGGGCUUGGAAUUGUUCCCCGUGAACGAGGAAUUCCUAGUAAGUGCAAGUCAUAAGCUUGCGCUGAUUACGUCCCUGCCCUUUGUACACACCGCCCGUCGCUACUACCGAUUGAAUGGUUUAGUAAGGUCCUUGGAUUGGCGCUAUUGUGGUGUUUGCCGAAAGGUGAGUACCCGACAGGUGCUGAGAAGACGACCAAAC
rnacentral:rRNA from 1 species